AUACAGAGGGUGCAAGCGUUAAUCGGAUUUACUGGGCGUAAAGCGCGCGUAGGCGGCUAAUUAAGUCAAAUGUGAAAUCCCCGAGCUUAACUUGGGAAUUGCUUUCGAUACUGGUUAGCUAGAGUAUGGGAGAGGAAGGUAGAAUUCCUGGUGUAGCGGUGAAAUGCGUAGAGAUCUGGAGGAAUACCGAUGGCGAAGGCAGCCAUCUGGCCUAAUACUGACACUGAGGUGCGAAAGCAUGGGGAGCAAACAGGAUUAGAUGCCCUGGUAGUCCAUGCCGUAAACGAUGUUUACUAGCCGUUGGGGCCCUUGAGGCUUUAGUGGCGCAGCUAACGCGAUAAGUAGACCGCCUGGGGAGUACGGUCGCAAGACUAAAACUCAAAUGAAUUGACGGGG
rnacentral:rRNA from 1 species